rnacentral:rRNA from 1 species
GAUGAACGCUGGCGGCGUGCCUAACACAUGCAAGUCGAGCGAUUUACUUCGGUAAAGAGCGGCGGACGGGUGAGUAACGCGUGGGUAACCUGCCCUGUACACACGGAUAACAUACCGAAAGGUAUGCUAAUACGAGAUAAUAUGCUUUUAUCGCAUGGUAGAAGUAUCAAAGCUUUUGCGGUACAGGAUGGACCCGCGUCUGAUUAGCUAGUUGGUAAGGUAACGGCUUACCAAGGCGACGAUCAGUAGCCGACCUGAGAGGGUGAUCGGCCACAUUGGAACUGAGACACGGUCCAAACUCCUACGGGAGGCAGCAGUGGGGAAUAUUGCACAAUGGGCGAAAGCCUGAUGCAGCAACGCCGCGUGAGCGAUGAAGGCCUUCGGGUCGUAAAGCUCUGUCCUCAAGGAAGAUAAUGACGGUACUUGAGGAGGAAGCCCCGGCUAACUACGUGCCAGCCGCCGCAGUAAAAC